UGUAACACUACUGUGAGAAAUGGGACUGUGUUUCCUCAGAGAGACCAUGAAGUGGAGUUACUGAGCCAGGGUGGAGGAAGAAACUGUAACACUUCUAGAGCAAUUAAAACUAUGCCAGCAGCAAAUGGAGGCCAAGUUACAGCCGGAAAUUAAAGAAAGACUUGAAUCAGCCAAAGAGGCCUUGCAGCAAUGAAGCCAGCAGCGUACAAGUCUUCAGUUAAGCAUGGAGGCCAGUUCCCAGCAGCAGAUGGAGGCCUCAAAGCAACAGAAAGAAAACUUCCAAGCCAGCAUGAGCAGCCCAAGUCAGGAGACGAGAACCUUGCCUACACCACAGGCUGCCAGGAGUUAAAACUGCCCAGCUACGGAGCUUCCAGUUGGGAUUGGCAAACGAAAAUUGAUUUGGUAGCUGGGUUUAGACUAGCUUGGACUCAAGGGUGUAGCUGAAAAUCAAGCUAGUAGCUGAAAAUCAACCAGCCUAGACUAAUUUGGAACUGGCCAGCUACAGUAUGGGCAUCUGGAGGGUGGGCGGAAGAGGGGGAGGUUGCCCUUCCCAAUGCAGCCAACCCCAUUUAAUUCAAUGGGGGAUUACUCCCAGGGGAGGAUUGCAGCCUCUCACUGUCACUUGGGGGAAAGUCCUGUGGACACCUAUGUGGCCAGUAGGGGUAACUGACGAACUGCACAAAGAUCUACAGGGACUGGAAUUGUGGUGGAAAAGAAAGCGGAGAGUAUCACACGAAGUCAGUGGCUUUGUCAGGGAUGAGCAGCCAGAAGCCACAGGAGUGCACAUGUUGCAUGGUAAUGUCCCAGGAAAUAGUGUGACCCUCUAUCUCCUAGUGAUUAUGGAGGAAAGGGAAGAACCUCAAUGACUCAAAUUCCAUGACUCCCAUUUUCAGGGUAGAGAAGCCCUGACCUUUUCAAGCAAGCAUUCCUGACUGGCCCUGAUGGAACCUCUGGGAAAUUCCUUAUUUCCACCUUGCAGAAGCAGAACACUGGCUGAUAGUUCAGGAGAUCAGCUGACGUUUCUGGAAGAGAGCUAAUGGAUGAGAGAUCCGCUGGAGGGGGAAGUUAGAAGAAUCUUGUAAGAUGACAGG